AAUAAUAACUUAAUUGUUAUUACGCGGUUUUGGGAAUUUAGGGUUUACUAGCGGUUUGUAUUGUGGUAAAAUGCAAUUGUUUGUAAUCUUACAAUUUUCUUGCUACAUGGUUUGUAUUCCUUAUCUAUUUUGGCUUUAUUGUAGCAGUUUUAUGUGUGAAUUUCAGAUUGACUUAUGCAUCUCUGUUAUCAGCCUUUUUUUUUUUCUGAAAAUAAUUCUAUUAAUAAUUAAGAUAUUGAAAGUGAACAUCUAUCAUAUUUGUGAUAGUUCAUUUCUUCCUCCUCAUCGUCGUCAUCAUCAUCUAUCACAAAGAUUUUGAAAGUGAUUAUGCAAUUUAUUUAUGAGAUGGAUGCCUUGUCUACCUUCUAUAUAAAUUAUUUUUUAGUGAAAUCAUUAAUCUUAAAAAGUAUGCUAAUUUAGAUUGAAAUUCUUCUUCUGUUUGUUUGCAUUCUAUACCCUUCUUAGUUAUUCCCUAUAAUUUACAAUUUUAUUGAAUUAAUCAUUUUUCAUUUUGGUUUAUUAAUUGCUUCCUCUACCUCAUAGAAAAUAGAAAAUAUGGUCGAUUCGAUGGAAAAGUGAAAAAUAAAAUUUCACUGAAAGAGUUUGAUGUGUAUAAGUUCUAAAGUGACUUUUUUUUUUUUUAAUUAUAUGUGCAUAAGCUUGAUUGAUAGUUAAUCACAGUGGUAAUUUGGCAAUUUGAUGUUGUUCUUUGAGAGGGAAACAACGGUAUGAAGUGCACUAUGAUUCCGAUGACUCAAAAGUGUAGUGCUAUGCAUCACUCAUCAGUAUGUGGAAGUUGUGCUCUUGAUAAUCUGUCUUGAUAAUUUUACUUGAUUUUUUCAGCAUGGUUAUUUUAUCGAUUUGAAAAGUUGAAGAUUGCAAUUAUAGGAGAAGCUUGGAGAAGGAUGAUGAUUAUCUUAUUGAAAGGUAUGCAAUUUAUUUUUUACUUUUACUUUCAAAUAUGCGAUUUUGGGGUUAUGCUUUCUGUGACAAUGUAAAAAGCAAUUGCUUAAUAUUUAUUCAUGAAUUAUAACUUCAGGCUUUUGCUGUGAUGGUUUAUUCUGUGAAAAUUUUGCUAUAAUUGCAAUAUAACUGAAUUGGUAUUAAGGGAUUUAGAGGCUGUUUCAAAUUGCUCGACUAUGUGAGAAUUCACGUUACCUGAUGACUUUGUGACUUCUGAAGUGUCAGCGUUUUAACCCCCAACUUUAGCAUGGUGCUCACUGCUCAGAAUUCACGUUAUCUUUGCUCUUUGUAGUUGAGGCUGAUUGGUUUUUGAUGUUUAUUUUGACUUUCCCCUGGUUUGCCACCUUGUCAUUUUUCUGUGGUAGGCCUACUGUUGCUGUUGUUAUUGAUUUCAUGAGUGGUAUCAAUAUUGAAAAAGCAAGCUAUGUACUGUCACUCUGUCAAUGAUAGUAGAUUAGUGGACUCAUCAUCGUGAAGUUCUCAUUGAAGGUGUUGAUUUUGUUAGCUGCUUUUUUUUAAAGGUCUCUUUGGUAAGGAGAAUUCCAGAAUUUUGUUUUACUCAAUCUUGAAUAUGGCACGUGCCCGAAUAGUUCUUGUGAUGGAGUAUGAAACUAAGCUUGCUUCUUUGUCUCAAGAUAAUGUUCUUACUAAUGUUGACGUCCACUUGAGCUUGCCCCUUACCUUACUAUAAUAUUAUGUUGUAUUUCUUGCUCCCAUACUUUUGAUAUUGAGUUUUUUAGCGUAGGCAUUUGUUGCGAUAGUUUUCCUGAGAAUUAGUGAUGAAAGUCUUUCUCUGCAGCCCUUAUAAUCUAAUAUUAGGGCCUAUGACAAGGUAAACCCAGUGGGGCAAUUCAUUUGUGGGGGGUACUCCACCUUUAUGAAUAUGUUUUCUAUGUUUCCUUCUGAUAUUAUUCUUUGUGAUUUUGUCUAUAUAUAUAUGAAUUUUUUUUUGGUGGUAUGCUUCUUAUGUUCUUGACUGGGACAUUGCACUGUGGACUACUAUUUUCUUUUCCAGGAGGCCACCAGUCGGUUUACCACUGACUGCUGCAUCAGUAAGGGCUUCUGUCCAACCUCCAACAAUGCAAAACUGUUUUCCAAAUCCUCUCUUCUCUGAGCUAUUUUUCAUUGUUUCUCUCUUAUUAAUAUUUUAUUUCAAUUGGAUGAUUAAUGAUUUUUUUUUCGUGUUCUUAAAAGAAUAAAAUAAACUGGCUCUUGUGAGUGAUUGGGUCAAAGGUACUUGUUUUUCUAUUUUUGUGAUGCAAAUUAAACUGCAAAUUUAAGUUUUGAAUUGAAGUUUUUUUUAUGAAUUAAGUUUGCAGUCUUUAUUUUCAAUUUUUUUGAUCAUAUCACUGAUGUAUUGUAGCUGGAUUUUGAAUUUAUCAGAUGCUUAGUUUUUUUCAUUAUUGCGAUUUGGAUUAAGUGUUGAAGUGUGAAUUGUGAUCUAUAUCAAAUGGGUCUCUGUACCAUAUAUGUGAUCAUUGCUGAAUGGGUCUCUAUGAGGGUUGAUGAGGCAAUCAAUUAACUGAAGAUGUAUUUAUACAGAAAUGUUGAGGAGAUGACUGAAUCUGAUGAGUUCAAUGUACUAUGAUUUAUCACUCAUAUUUCUAUGGUGCUGAGGAUAGAAUUAUAAUUAUUGCAGAUCUAAUUUUUUAUUUAUUAGGAUUGCAUGGAGUGUAUGUAGUUUGAUUUAAAACAUUAUAUAUAUAUAUAUAUAGGGUGAGGAUCCCAUGAGAACUCUCGUAACAUGAGAACCAUGAGAACUCCUCAAAUUUAGAACAUAUGCAAUACUUUUUAGAACAUAGAAACCUAAACAAAUAUACAUAUUCUAAAAUUUCAAGGUAAUGCUUUCAAUUAUCGUGUUUAGAACAUAACCUUCAUAAUUCAGAAAACAAAAAUUCAAAACAUAACCUCAAAAAUAAAGAACAUAAUUUUGAUGUUUUAGAACAUGACCUUGAUAUUUUAGAACGUGCAUAUAUGUGUAAGUUUUCAUGUUCUAAGAAAUGUAACACCUGAUCUAAAUUUGAGGAGUUCUCAUGGUUCUUAUAUAAAAAUAGUUCUCAUAUGAACCUAAACCAUAUAUAUAUAUAUAUAGGUUAAUAAAUUUACCUAAACAGAGUUUCACAGGGUUAUCCAAUGCAGGUUAUGUAAACUGUGAAGUGUUCCACGGGAAUCAAAAUCACCUAAUGAUAUCUUAGGAAGGUGUAUUCCAUCUAGUGUAAGCUUGUUUAGGAAGGAGUACCUCAUUAAAAGAUUUUCAGCUUUGAAUCUUAGCAAGUAUGGUUACAGUGGUUCUAAUGUUCUAUUGUGCAAUUUUUUUUUAAUUAACUUAAACUAAUUAGAUUUCAAGAGUGAAAAUUGGACCAAUAGCAAAAGGUAGAGAAGCCAAAGGUUUAAACAUAAAUAGUCAAUAAUUUGCCUGAUUGAUGUUGUUGUAGAUUCUGUUUUGUUACAAUUCAAAAGCGGGGUUUGAUUGCAGUUAGUGCAAACUUAUCAAGACUAGUAUUGGUUCUUCAUUGUGAUUAUUGGAUUUAUAACUUUCGGUUUUUCUAUGUCUAGGCUUCUAAUUGUGCAGCGGGAUUAUGUUUUGGUCUUAAUUAUCCAAACUACUAUGGGCAGCUUAAAGAAUGUCAACGGAUAGCUGUUACAACAAUGUACUCGCGGAAGAUGCUAAAACAAUAUGCAAUAAUGGUAAUAGCAUGGCCAACUCUACUUCAUUUGUUGUCAUGUGAAAAUCUGAAUUUGUGCUAGCCAUUAAAAUUGGAUGUCUUCAUAUUUGUUAUAUUGUUUAUGCUUUAAACUUUUGCAUUUUGUACUUGUUGUUAGCUAGCUCAAUCAUGUCUACAUUAAUAUGAAAUUUUGCCCAAUCGGCUCACAAGAGAGUCAUGUCUUGCCUUUUAACACUUGUUAGUAACUCAAAGUGACAUGAUACCAUUAAAUCAUUAAUUGCAAACGUAAUCUCCUAUUCGUAAUGAAUCCACUAUAUAGAUGUCAUAAUUCAGCAGUACUAUGCUGCACAGAAGAGAAUUUCUACAUAUAUUAGUCUUUUACAACUUAAAAUUACUUGGCCCUCAUCAAAUUUUAGAAUUACCAAAUUUUAAGAAAGCAAAAAAUGAUAAAAAAAUAAAUGGUGGCAUCUUUUCCUGUAUGACCGUUUUAAAUACAACUCAUGAUUAUCGUAGACUUCUGUGCUAGUUAUUUAAUUUUAUGUUUUCUUAACCCUUUUUUGACAAGCCUACAGCUCAAUUGGAAGAGCAGCAUGCAAAUGGACACGGAUGUGGGUUCAAAUCCCUCAUAGGCUCUUCUAUCUUUAUAUAUUUCUGAAGAUGAAUUGCGUAGAAUCGGAUGAUUUACACGAUCAGAUAUAAUCUGAAUUCGUGAAGCAUAGAUUUUUGAGGAACUUGAAAACUGUUGUUAAUACAACCUAGAAAAAUGGAAGGAAUAUUAUUGAGGAGAUAGAGAAAUAGUAUAUUGUAUAGCAAAGAAUUGAUUGGCAAAAUUAAUAUAGUAUAACCAAUUUAAACUGUAAUGGAAGUGAAAAUAUAUAACAAAAUUUUACCUAAAACGCUAAACCAUGUGUAAGACAAGUAGCAUUUUUAAAGAAAUUAGAGUAUUUGGGUCUUGAAAGCUAGAAUGGUGUCUUAUAAAAUAAGUUGCUCAGGUUAUACGAGGCUUAGUAGCAGAUAGCAUUGAAAGCUUUGUUAACUUAUGUUAUAAAAGUUCUUUGAAACUUUCAAAUGUCAUUAUGCCAGAGCAAGUUACUAGUGGUAAUGACAAGUUGUAUGAGGCUCCGGAAAUUUUUCCUGAAAGUGACUGUAUGAACCCUGAAGUGUCUGCUUUUAGACCCACAACUUUGGAAGGGUAUGUGAUCUGCUUGAAAACCCUUUUCAAUUUACAACUGAAAACUUCCCUUUUUAUUGUAAAACUGAUAGGAUGGUGAGUUACUAUCCCUGUGCUUGGCAGCUGAGUCUAAUUGGUUCAUGAUGUCCACUCUGACUUUCUUGAGGUUGCUGCAGGCGUUGGUGACACUUAGCACCCUAUCAUUUUCUGUCGAUAGGCCUACAAUUACUGCUGUUAUGGAUUUUAUGUGUGGUAUCAAAUGUUGAAGAAGCAAGAUAUGAAACUGUCAGUGACAAUAAAUCAAUAGACACUCAUCAACAUGAAAUUCCUGUUGACAGUGUUGAUCCAUCAACUUCUGUUGCACUGUCUGUUUGCCAAAGGUCUCUUAAGAAGGGGGUAGUUUAGAGUAAUUUGAGCUUGGUCUUGAAUAUGGCAUGUGCACAAAUAGUUCUUGUGAUGGAGGAUAAAACUAAGCUCACCACUUUGUCGCAAGGUGUUUCCUUCUUCGUUGAGUGUCAAGGCUGCCAUAGGUAAUCUGAGUAUACAUCAUGACAAUAUUUCUCCGGAGCUCCUAUAAUCUUAGGGCCUGUGUCAUGAGAAUCCUGGGAGGAGUUCAUUUGUAAAGGUACUUGACUUUGGUGAAUAUGUUUUCCUUGUUCCCUUCAUUUUUUUCCCUGUGGUUUUGCCUUUAUAUCUAUGAAUGAUUUUGGUGGUAUAUGUAUACCUCUUAUGAUUAUGGGUUACCAUGUUUGUCAUGGAGAUUGGGUUAUCAUAGCUCGACCAGGUGGCUUUGGGUCUCUUCCAAUGUCCACUGGUCAAGUUGCUUCUCUGACUGCCUCUCCAGGAGAAAUUAGUGAUAGACUUCCAAUGUGCUCAGCUGGGACAUUUCCUGGUGGACCAUGUUAUUCUUCUUUAGGAGGCCCACAACAGCCACCAGUUGGCCUUGUAUCCACUUCUGCAUCAGUAAGGGCUUCUGUCCAAGCUCCAACUAUGCAAAAUUGUCCUCCAAAACCUCCUUUCUCUGAGGUAGUCUUCUUUCUUUCUCUUUUAUUAGUACCCCUUUAAUUCGAUAAUUGAUAUGAGAAAAAAUUAAAAUGUAAUUUGCAACUUUUCAAAUAUCUGGUGCUUGUAAUAAUGCAAAGCUGUUUGACGAAUUGGAUUCUGCGUGCAAGAUUAUGCGUGAUUGGGACAAAGUUGAAAUAAUGAGCUGGCAGCACAACAUUUUGUCCCUAAUGGAUCUCAAAUCAUAGAUCAUCACCAUGGCUAACAUCUAGAUCGUGGAAAGAACAGAGAUAAUAAGAAGAGCAAGGCAAUAGCCUAGUUUUCUCACAGUGGCUCUUCAACAUUGAUAAACUUCAUCCAAUUGCUGGAAAAUGGAUUUAGUGCAUAGUCCAUUUGUUUCCGCGUCUUGGCCGGUGUGGAAUGAAGACGUAUCGCAAAUUGUUUGAAAUCCACUACAACCUUUAAUAGACUGUUAUGAGUCAGGAAACAAUCAACAACCAUCUUUGGCCAUGAUAUGAAAGCUUGAGCUACAGGACUAUUUCACGCAUGGUGCAUGUUUAUAUAUGCUUGUAUUAUUUAAGUGCUAUUUUUUAAUGUCUCAGAA